GAAGCUGACCAGACAGUCGCCGCUUCGUCGUCGUCCUUUCGGGGAGACGGGCGGAGGGGAGGAAAGUCCGGGCUCCAUAGGGCAGGGUGCCAGGUAACGCCUGGGGGGGAAACCCACGACCAGUGCAACAGAGAGCAAACCGCCGAUGGCCCACGCAAGUGGGAUCAGGUAAGGGUGAAAGGGUGCGGUAAGAGCGCACCGCGCGGCUGGUAACAGUCCGUGGCACGGUAAACUCCAUCCGGAGCAAGGCCAAAUAGGGGUUCAUAAGGUACGGCCCGUACUGAACCCGGGUAGGCUGCUUGAGCCAGUGAGCGAUUGCUGGCCUAGAUGAAUGACUGUCCACGACAGAACCCGGCUUAUCGGUCAGUUUCACUU
rnacentral:RNase_P_RNA from 1 species